GCACUUGUUCAUUUAUGCCAUAAAAGGCUACAACAGGGAUACAUAAAGCCAUAUAUUGAGCUUAAUUUGUCUGGCUACGGACCAGAAGGUUUGGGGUUCGAGUCCCCUUCGGGUGUACCA
rnacentral:tRNA from 1 species